AAUCAAAUCUCAAACCUUUCAGUAAUGAAUGAAACUGUGAAUAGAUCUGAGCUUUCGAUAGGGUAGAGAAAACGUUAAUUUUAAUGAUACAAAUCGGACGGUUGAGAUUUAGUUUUGACCGGUUAAGUGGUCAUGGCAAACGUCAGAUCGAAACCGUUCUGGUGAACUGAAACAAAAGCAUGAAUGUUGUGUAAGAUUCGCUGAUGCUUAAAACUCUCUGUUCACUUUCAGAUGAGAAUAUUAUUACCUAAUGACUUAUUUAUCCUUAGCUUUUGCACGUCUAACAAGUAUCUGUGUGGGUAGUAUCGUCAUUUUGUCCGUCAAUUCGUUUUUUGUCUAGUUAUUUUUUUUUAUUUUUUGGAUAUGAGGAAUUUUCUUUUUGUGUUUUUCUUUGGUUAUCGGCUUUUGCUUUAAUGAGAUGUUCAAAAAAAAAAUUAUAUUUUGCUUUAAUGAAAAACUUUAGGACACGUCUGUUUCACGAAACUUACCAUUGAUAAUGUGUUUGGAUUCCUUAGUACAACGAUCGAGGAAGACUUUAAUCAUCUUUACUCACAUGACAUUUUUUCCUUUUCAGACUGAUGCUUUCUCUGAAAUUCCUAUUAUCUUUUUUUUUUCCUGAAAAUAAAAUUUUCUCGACAAACCUUUUUCUUCUGUUUGCUUAUUUUCACGCCAAAGUUCACAUUGACAUUAAAAAUAAGUUAAUUACUUUCCCAAGAAAUAAUCGCUCUACCUUUUAUUUAGAAAUGUAGCUGUUGUUUUUAGUAAUAACAAGAAAAAGAAACUAUACUCUUAUCAAGAGAAUUGACAAAAAAAAAUAUUGCUAAAAAGAGACAAAAACUUUAGGAGUAUAAUUUAAGGACACCGUGUGAUUACAAUAAAUUCCACGAGUGUUUAUUUAGUGUUUGUUUAAAUAUUUAAAAUCAAUAAAAUUGCCGUGAUUCUUGUUUAAUCAGUCAAUGGAAUUGAGAUUGGGAAAAUGAUUUCUCUUUAGCCAACACCUAUGAUGAUGUUUGGAUUUUGCUUGUGUGCGGGGAAAUAAAAUAAAAUGGAAUUAUUCCUUGUUUGACCACUAAAUGCCAAAGAAAUCAUUGUUCCUUUACCUUUUAUUCUUUUUAGUUGCAUUUGGAUUUUCAAUUUAUCUAUCAAUCAUAGUGUCUUGUUCGUGCUCACCAGCUUUGCAUUUCAUUAAAAAGGAACAUGUUAAGCUAUCUUUUAUGUAACUAAUCCCA